AGCAGCUUACAUGCCAGAGGCUGUGCGUGAACAGCCCGGGAGUGGGGGUUCUCACAGCAGAGCAGGGUCAGGCUGGCUCCCAGAGUCAAGGAUUGGAGUGGCCUAGCAGAUCACCGGUCCAGACAACACCGGAGGGGAACGUCACAGCAAGUGAGAGAGGAAGCCCAAUUUCCUUGGAGGGAUUCCGGCUCCGGUUUGAGAUGCGGCUUGAAGGAAAUGAUCUGAUGACGACGACAACAGUUGAUCCUUCUGAAGAAUUUUUGUACUGAAGGGGAGAGCCCUCACCACCCCAUUAGCACGCAAGCCUGUUCCUUGUAAGUAGGAAAUAAAUGCAUGAAACCACUAACUCAGACUGCCCUCGCCUACAACAUAACUGAGACAGGAACUUCUGCUCACUAAGACCGAGAAUUGAGAGCUUCCCACGUGAUCAGAAUCUGUCUCAGGUUUGAUUCAAUCAGCCAAAGUGACAAUGCUGCACACAAUUGUUAAACCAAGAGAGCCUCAAUCCAUGUAACAGCCUCAAGCAAGGCCAGAGGCCGACCCGCCCAGCAGCACUUCAACCUCAAAACCUCACUGUGCUGCCAAAACCGGCAAAAACAUUAUUCUGUAUUACACAGAGUAGCAGCAUUUCAUUCAUCCCUAGCAACACAGAGGUGGGGAGACUUGCAUGCAUUAGAUGCUUGGAACUUCCCUGAAUCAAAAUGUGGGCUCACCUCCUCCUACACACUUCAUGUGGAGACCCACCAUGGGGCAACAGGUUCAUUCCUGCUGUGGGAUGUUUUCAAGAGCUUUGUUCUGUCUGACUUCAACUAUCCCAAGAGACAGGGCUUCCCCACUCCCAGAGGGAUUAUUCCACAGUGUCUGGGAUUGUCCUUUUUUACAAUGCUGGGUGUUUUCGGAGGAACAACCUGUCAGAAAGUCUUCCUCAUCUUCCGUCUAUGUUGUCGCUAGCUCUCUGUGCCACCCUAAACAAACCCGCUUCCUCCUUGGUGAUGCUACACCCACCUCCUACUUCUGAGGUAUUGGGUGUCCCCUUUUCUGUCGUAGCCAAACUACACUGAUUGAGCUGUUCUAGGCUCUCCAGCAUUGCUAUCACCCCCGGUUGGAGCUGGGCAAGGAACACGGUGCUCAUCAAGGCACUGUCCGGAUGAUGCUGUCAGUCUCUUGGACAGAGGGCAGAGAAAACAGGAACACAAGCGUGUGCACCUUGAUGUACACGAUUUAAACAUGAAUUUGAUGGACCCCCUCCAUAGUUAAGGCUCGAAAUGGGUGCAGGCGCACAGCAGCUGUCCAACGCGACAGGCCGUGUCCGAAAGCAGCAACGCUGAUGCAUCUAAGAAACCCCUGCAAUUCUCUCACCUCCUGUUGAUUUUUACACAGACGGGUCAAAUAGCCUGGCCUAAGGCAGGUGCGAUUAGGCGACAGAGUCACCUGGCCAGGACUAGCAGUGCUUUCUUUGCCCAGGAGAGCAGAGCCUCCAUAGGGACCGGAAACGGCAAGCUUCUGGCACCUGGUAGAGGAGAAACAGAACGGGAAGGUGCUCGCCAAAGGCUAGAAACGGAGAGAGGGAAAGGCAGGUGCAGUGAGAGAAAUGAAAGACAACUCUAGCCACCAGGUUCUGUUCUUCCGGAGAGCGGAGCUCCAUCUACGUCCCCCCCAUCGGUGUUCCACACAACGCCACAUCCCUGAGAGUGACAGAGCCCGCCGUCCAAGCCGUAGGGAACAAAGGAGACACCCGGAGAAUUUAGGAAGCUCAUAGGAUCCCACCAGAACAGCAGCAUGGCAGAGAAACAGCCACCACGUCCACAGAAAUUCACUCUGUGUAACAGAGAAAAGGCUGCAAUGGAGGCAAUUGCACAGACUUCUAGGAGGCCUUCCCAUGGGCUGAGUUAGGGCCCAUGUGUGUGCAUUCCUAUGGCACUGUUCACAAACAACCGGACUGCCAACCCCCGGCUUUUCAAAAUCUGAGUCAGACGGCCCAAAAUCAUGACAUUGGCUUAAAAGCCCUAAUACUUUUCAAAAUAACCCCCGGUGGGUUCCUUUUAUUCAUCGUCUAGUGUCUGGGUCACGUUUUCAAGUGUCUCUCUGCAACCACGAGGCCUAGAAACUUACUUCUUUAAAAACAAAUUGAAGCAGAGGUUCUCACGUGAUCAGCUGCAGCUCCCCAAGAAACACCAAAUGUGAGACUCACGUGAAAACGGUGAGAACGGGCCACGUUGGCUUAAUAACCAUAGAGCUGAGAAUGUACAGGAAGGCAGAGCGCGGCACGAAUAGAAAGGUGGGGAGGAAGAGAAAGGGAAAGACGGAGGAGGGAAUAAGAGAGAAAAGGACAAUAGCAGAAGCAAUAAGGUAACGGAUGCAGGGAGUAAAGGAGGGAGGCGGCAGCCGGCUGCAGGGAGGGAGAGCUCUGUCUCUUUGCUAUGGUGUGUAAUUAACUGCUCCAUCAUCUAGGGAUGUAGACAAUAUGGUAAGUAGAUACUGUGUGCUGUGCCACCCCCUGCCACUUCCAGCUCCCCAGCGGGCCCUGCCACCCGCAGCAGAGAUGGCACUGACUAAACACAGCGCCAGAGGGCACAGAAGGGCAGCAGUUCAAGUCCCAGAUCCUCCAGCCAUGCCGUCUUGUCCCCCUGCAGUGGGCAGAGCGCCUAUGUUUCUGGAGCGACCCAGCUAUCUCAGCUCACCGCAGCCCCAUGGGAACAGCCAGGCCAGAUUUGAAAGAGACAGGCCGAUUGAGCCGCCAAUCGGGUUUCAGAGGGAGGACCAGACGUAGCAGACGUAUCAGUCGAUGUGAACAUUUAAUCUGCUAACCCCUUGUGUCCUUUCUUUGGAGCCUGCAGCAAGUCGCCUGCCUCAGCUGAUCCAUGUCCAGAACAGGCCCUUACAGCCAGCACGGGAGGGAUAGCGCAGCGCAGAGGAAUGAAUUAUGCCCUUAAGGGGGCAGUGCACUCUUCUGCAGAGUCUGGAGCGAGGGACAAUGCUGGUUAUCAGGAGCACGGCUCGCCAGGGCAUGCCUACGUCUGGAGCGGGCGUACUGCAUGGAGCUGAGUGAAAGGACCAGAAUGCACUUAAUUCCACUCAAUUUAACUCCAUUUGCUUUUUCUCUUUUAAUAAAAUAAAAAUAUCGACUGCAUUCAGCAUAAGCGAGUUUCAAGCGUUUUCUGGCUGCUGCGAGAAACCGAUAACGGGCUGUAAUUCACCCGGCUGCGGGUGACGCAUCUGGACAAGGAGGACGCAGGAAAUACUGGGAAGUCACAGAAAUCUUAUCUUUCACUGCGCUGUCACAGACUGUCAGACACUCUGCAACGAGCCAGCUCGGGGGCUCCGGAAACGCCAGCCGGACACUCCAGGCCCUAUUCAGAGCCCGGCAGUAGCACUCAGACGGUGGUAGUGAUAGGAGCCAUGCCAGAUAGGGCCCUUCUUACACCGCCCAGCCAUGGAAACCAUUCUACACAUACAAAAACAGACAGCUAAUUUUAGGUGCCUUCACAGCGACUUCUCAGGCCGAGACGGCAGUCGUUCUACUGGAAAGGAAAUGGAUGGGGGAAGAAUGUGCAUCUUAGAAUUAAACAAGAACCCGAGGAGAGAGAGACAGAGAGACGUUGACUCCACACAUGGGAUUGUUCUGUGCUUACAGCGUUGUCUAAAACAGGCCCAGAGCAAACUCCAAAUGCAAACCAAUCCAGGAGCCGCAGCUGGGUUCUGUCACCACAGUCCUGUGCUUCUCAGCGGGGCCCGAUAGCUUACUUUAUACCCUGCAUAUCGCUUCUCUGAGGCAGGACACCAUCUCACCCAGAGAACCAACAUUAACAAGUGCGGCCCCUCCUACCACGCCCUGUCCUCCAGCUGCCCCUUUUCUCCCCUAUUGUAGCCCUAUUCCCCAGGGAUUUUCAAGCCACACCUGCAACACAUCUCUUUUCUCCAUGUGUAGUCUCUUAAUUUCUCCCUCUGCUAGUCCUAGGUGGAGUAUUUUAGAUUAUACAGUGUUCUUCUGCAAUCGUUGGCUCGGUUCCCGAAUUCUGUCAUUAUACACAUCCAUAAUGCAUUGUGAUUAAUCGAAAACCAAUUCUACUCUGCCUGAAAAUACCGCCUUUCAUCAGAGAACCUCAGCACGCUUCACCAGUCCCACUCUGUCCCAAAGGGAACCAGGGCUGGACUUUUAAGUAGGACAUGCACCCCACAAGCACAAACCACCACCACAACCACCCCUAACUGCUGUUUGUGCUAUUCAUCCCUAGCUCUCCGAGCGCUUUACAAAGGAGGGUAGUCUCACUCUCCCCAUUGUACAGAUGGGGAAACUGAGGCACAGCACUGUGACAUGACUCACUCAGCCAGGCCAGUGGCAGAGCUGGGAACAGAACCCAGGCCUCCUGAGCCCCAGUCCUGUGUUCUGUCUACUGCACGAUACUGCCUCCCAUCCAUCCCCUACGGACCAGGGCCUGAGGCAGUGCCCAGUGAAUUCAAUGGGAGCCUUUCCAUUCAUUUCAAUGGGCUUUGGAUCAGGCCCUAACGUAAACAGCCAGUGGGGACGCUCCCAGCCGAGGGCCUUGUCUCAUGCACAAACACAGGACAAACCCAUUUCCCACUCUGCCCCUCUGCGCACGGCCCAGGGUUUAACAGAGCAGCAAUUCCGGGUGAAGGUCGCAUUACCCCCGUUUUACAGAAGGAGUAACUGAGGCACAGAGAGGUGAAGAGACUUGUCCAAGGCCAUACGCUGAGGCAGCGGCAGAGAUGGGAACAGAGCACAAGAGUCCCCUCUCACCGCCAUCACCACCGGACCAUGCAACAUGUCGUACAGGUAAUUACAGCACUCUCCUGGGUUCCUAACAUCACUGUUUCUGGCCCCUAGGCACUUCCAGCUCAUAGCAGGGGAUGACAGCAGUCCAGCUACGGAGGGGGCCUGUGCCCAGCCACAUUAUCCCUGCCUCACAGUGCCGCCUACAGGGAGAGACUGGGACAGCUGACCAGGAAGGGCCGUGGGCAGCCGCUGUAUGAUGAGCCACCAGCACAAGGGCAGAAUCCAACUCAUGUCUUCUGACUCAGCUCUCCUCCGGCAUCUUUUCCACACCCCCAGGCCUUUUUUAGUCUUGACACUGCAAUGGUGCUGACUGAAGACGUAACUCGUGACUGACUGGACAGAAUGACAAGGUUUGGAGACACCAGCAGGCUUCCCAUGCGUAAAGAGCCUCUCUUUUCUUUCCCUGGACAGCUUUCUCCUCUGGCGGGUUUGGGGCAUUUUGAGAAUCUCUGCCAUUUUACGGCAGCUGGUCAGAACCUCCAAGGGACACAGGAUGGAAGGGGCCACUUGAGAUCAGGAACGCCCAGCUCAUCCUGAAAGAGCGACACCAUUUCGCUUCUCAGAAGCCUUCCCCUUGGAAGCAAGCAAGGGCCAAGUCAACCCUGAGAAACAAAGCAGCCUGGGGCAGUUGUUUUUUUCAGGGCUUCGCCCCUCAGCAGUCAGAGGUCACUGGACAGAAGCACACGCCUCACACAGGCACAGAAAAAAAAAUCAGUUCUCUGCAUAACUCACCAACAUGGCAACCUAAGCACCUGACCCAUUCCAGGACUCCAAACCUUCACUAACACACAUGAAAAACCCUGGAAUCUGAUCUCUUCCCUGCAUGACUGCACCUCUCCACUCCUGUAGACUUCAUCCUCAGGCAGACCGGUAACCCAUCCACCCUCCUGCCCUCAGGGUUUCUAGCACUGUGGGAAUGAGGAAGGAAGCCCGGGCAGCUGACUGAGGUGCCAGACUCAGCUGGGAUGUGCUUUAUCCCCAGGACCAGGCACCCACUGCCACGGCCCAGGCAGAGAUGCUGAGGGGAGCAGCCCUGGACCUCGUCAGCAAAGCAGAGCAGAGCCCCUCUGGCUUGGCUUCUAAAUAUCUCAGUAGGCUGCAGUAACUAAACAUGAGUAAAGGCAAACACCGCACCUUCCCAGCAACUGUCAUUAGAAACAGGUAAACAAUGGAGCAGUCAGUCAGAGGUAGCAAGACAAAGAGACACCUCCAUGAACAAGAGACAAAGCACCCUUGGAAAAGGCAGUCUCUCUCUCUCUCUCUCUCACACUCACACACACACACACAGCAGCAAACCAUCUGGCAUAAACACAGGCUCUCUCUGACACACACACUACACCCUCCUGCAAGCAGAGACAGGACUGUGAGCCAUUCCAAGGCACACGAGCCAUCACCACCCCUGGCACUCGUACCGGGAGUUAUAGGAAAGAAAAUGAAGAGAACAAAGCUGACAUUCCCUAUGAUCUAUGUUGUUUAACGGGAGAUGAGCAGACCCCGGCGAGCGCUUCCCUUGGGGCCUGCUAGUCUGGCAACUACCCACCAGUGCAUUCUCUUUGAAAUUCCUUUUACUGCAGGUGAAUCACCAAUUCCUACAUGCACAGACAAAAAUCCUGUCUUCCUCCACUUAUGUCACCACCUAACAAACACGAAGGAAAGAGCGCAAAGGAGCAAGGUGUGGCCUACCUCCAUCUCCAGAUGCGUUCUCCCGGCAGCCUUACCUACUCUGCAAUAAAUGACUAACAAACACAUUUGCUUCCCCCAGUUCUGUCCAAGUGACAGCACCAACACUGAAGAACUUGUGCCAUUAAGGUGCCAGAGACCACCGUGUGGUGCAGUCCUGCUCUGAGCCAUGUUAGAUGACAGAGUGCAGAAUACCUGGAGGCCUCACCAUGCUAGCAUUCUCAUCAUCGCUACAACUGCCUGAGCCAAAGCUACAGGCAGCAAAGCAAAUUUUGGGAGGGAGGAGGGGAAGAGGGGGAAGGAUUUUCCCAGCAUAGAUGGGAAUUAUGCACCUCGGUGCAGUGACCUUGCAGAACCAGGGCUCAAAUGCAGACUCUCUUUCAGACUCUUGGCCCGGCAGUAACUGCGGGCUUUUGUGACACCAUGAUGCUUCUCACAACUUUUCGCACUUCUCAGCAAAAACCCGAGCUGCAAGGCGUUCACUCGCGACUCGCCCCCCACUCUCUUUCUGGUUGCUGCUCUAGGUAGCGCUGGGCAGAGUUUCCCUGUGGCAGGAGCAGAGGAAAAACGGUUUCAGGAGGCACCAGCCAUUUUUUACUAACCGCUUACAAGCUUUUAAACGGAAUGUUCCGCUCCACUGCGAGACCAUUGGGAGUGAAUGUUUAACUGCAAGGAUCCCUACCCGAGGCCAGCUGAAGGGCUGCAGUUCCACCAGCAAAGGCCAACCAGACAGAAAGCAAAACACCCUCCGACAGGAGGAAAUAUUUCAAAGCACCACACAGGGAAUUCUCCCUCCCACAAGUCUGACCAGCCCACCAUGCUCUGAACUGAGCAGCAAUGGACAGCCCUCGGACAUUAAGAGAUAAACCUGCCAGCUGUCCAAC